UGGGGAAUAUUGGGCAAUGGGAGAAAUCCUGACCCAGCGACGCCGCGUGAACGAAGACGGCCUUCGGGUUGUAAAGUUCUUUUAUGUGGGAAGAACGAGAUGACGGUACCACAUGAAUAAGCCCCGGCUAACUACGUGCCAGCAGCCGCGGUAAUACGUAGGGGGCGAGCGUUGUCCGGAAUUACUGGGCGUAAAGGGCAUGCAGGCUGUUAAUAAAGUCGUGUGUUAAAAGAUGCGGCUCAACCGUGUUGUGCAUACGAAACUAAUUGACUGGAGUAUCGGAGAGGCAAGUGGAAUUCCCAGUGUAGCGGUGAAAUGCGUAGAUAUUGGGAAGAACAUCGGUGGCGAAGGCGACUUGCUGGCCGGUAACUGACGCUGAGAUGCGAAAGCCAGGGGAGCAAACG
rnacentral:rRNA from 1 species